GAUCAGCAUCAUCAACCUCACCUGAAAACAUGCUAAAAAUGCAAACUUUCGGGCUCUACCCCAGACCUACUGAAUCAGAAACCUGGGGGGUGGGGCCCAGGAAUCUGUUAUAACAAGCCCUUCAGGUGAUUCUGGUAAAUGCUAAUGUUUGAGAGCCCGUGUAUUAGUGUAUAGUAACAAAGAAAGGAAAUGGUUAGUGCCAAGUGAGUGACAUGCGGCUUCUAAGCCCCAUCCGUAUAGGAGUUCACUGGAUUUGGGCCACUAGGGAGAGCUCUACAUCAGAUCUCCAGGCAUUUAGAUCCCAGAGGUCAGGGACCCCUGAAGAAGUAGAGGGAAAUAAUCCCACAUUGGAUCACAGCCCGUUUCAUAAUUUCAAGAAGAGAUGGAAAGCUGCAUGAUACGGUUGUUCCAAUAUCCAAGCCAAAGCAACAAAUGACCUUCAGAAUCCCAGGACAUAGUAAGUGGACAAGGGGAACUGGAUUUUACACAAGGGAUGAGUGUGGUGAUCCUCCUCACAGUCUAAAGAAUCCAGCCCAUGAUAUAAACCUGUAUAAAUCCAUACAUAGGUUCUUAACCAAGAACUCACAAAUAAGAAUGUCAGGAGAUGAGGCCUUCAAUUUGAAUUCCUCUAUAAUUCUCAUUCAAAGCACCAGUGUCCCGGUGCAGUGGAGAAGAUGGCGUUAAACCACUCUAAUGUCCUUGUCAGUCAGAGAUAUACAUUUCCCUAAUGAGAGCGCUAACCAGGAC
ensembl:lncRNA